rnacentral:rRNA from 1 species
UACAGAGGGUGCAAGCGUUAAUCGGAAUUACUGGGCGUAAAGCGUGCGCAGCCGGUCUCGUAAGUCGGGUGUGAAAUCCCCGGGCUCAACCUGGGAAUUGCAUUCGAAACUGCAAGGCUAGGGUACGGAAGAGGGAAGCGGAAUUUCUGGUGUAGCGGUGAAAUGCGUAGAUAUCAGAAGGAACAUCAGUGGCGAAAGCGGCUUCCUGGUCCAGUACCGACGUUCAGGCACGAAAGCGUGGGGAGCAAACAGG